rnacentral:rRNA from 1 species
CCACGAAGUUGGAUUCGCUAGUAAUCGCGCAUCAGCCAUGGCGCGGUGAAUACGUUCCCGGGCCUUGUACACACCGCCCGUCAAGCCAUGGGAGCCGGGGGCGCCUGAAGUCCGGGACCGCGAGGACCGGCCUAGGGCGAAACUGGUAACUGGGGCUAAGUCGUAACAAGGUAAC